UACGAAGGGUGCAAGCGUUACUCGGAAUUACUGGGCGUAAAGCGUGCGUAGGUGGUUUGUUAAGUCUGAUGUGAAAGCCCUGGGCUCAACCUGGGAAUUGCAUUGGAUACUGGCAGGCUAGAGUACGGCAGAGGGUAGUGGAAUUCCUGGUGUAGCAGUGAAAUGCGUAGAUAUCAGGAGGAACAUCCGUGGCGAAGGCGACUGCCUGGGCCAGUACUGACACUGAGGCACGAAAGCGUGGGGAGCAAAC
rnacentral:rRNA from 1 species